GGCUAACUACGUGCCAGCAGCCGCGGUAAUACGUAGGGGGCGAGCGUUGUCCGGAAUUACUGGGCGUAAAGGGUACGCAGGCGGCCAAGUAAGUCAGAUGUGAAAGCCUACGGCUUAACCGUAGUAAGCAUUUGAAACUACCUGGCUUGAGUUAAGGAGAGGAAAGUGGAAUUCCUGGUGUAGCGGUGAAAUGCGUAGAUAUCAGGAGGAAUACCAGUGGCGAAGGCGACUUUCUGGACUUAUACUGACGCUGAGGUACGAAAGCGUGGGGAGCAAACAGGAUUAGAUACCCUUGUAGUC
rnacentral:rRNA from 1 species